CCUACGGGUGGCAGCAGUGGGGGAUAUUGCACAAUGGGGGAAACCCUGAUGCAGCGACGCCGCGUGAGUGAAGAAGUAUUUCGGUAUGUAAAGCUCUAUCAGCAGGGAAGAAAAUGACAGUACCUGACCAAGAAGCCCCGGCUAACUACGUGCCAGCAGCCGCGGUAAUACGUAGGGGGCAAGCGUUAUCCGGAUUUACUGGGUGUAAAGGGAGCGUAGGCGGCAUGGCAAGCGUGCUGUGAAAGGUCCGGGCUCAACCCGGGCCUUGCAGCGCGAACUGGCGUGCUUGAGUCCGGGGGAGGCAGGCGGAAUUCGUGGUGUAGCGGUGAAAUGCUUAGAUAUGAGGAAGAACCCCGAUGGCGAAGGCAGCUUGCUGCAGCGGAACUGACGCUGAGGCUCGAAAGCGCGGGUAGCGAACAGGAUUAGAUACCCGGGUAGUC
rnacentral:rRNA from 1 species